GAUGAACGCUGGCGGCGUGCCUAACACAUGCAAGUCGAGCGAUUCUCUUCGGAGAAGAGCGGCGGACGGGUGAGUAACGCGUGGGUAACCUGCCCUGUACACACGGAUAACAUACCGAAAGGUAUGCUAAUACGAGAUAAUAUACUUUUAUCGCAUGGUAGAAGUAUCAAAGCUUUUGCGGUACAGGAUGGACCCGCGUCUGAUUAGCUAGUUGGUAAGGUAACGGCUUACCAAGGCGACGAUCAGUAGCCGACCUGAGAGGGUGAUCGGCCACAUUGGAACUGAGACACGGUCCAAACUCCUACGGGAGGCAGCAGUGGGAAUAUUGCACAAUGGGCGAAAGCCUGAUGCAGCAACGCCGCGUGAGCGAUGAAGGCCUUCGGGUCGUAAAGCUCUGUCCUCAAGGAAGAUAAUGACGGUACCAUAGGAGGAAGCCCCGGCUAACUACGUGCCAGCCGCCGCAGUAA
rnacentral:rRNA from 1 species